rnacentral:rRNA from 1 species
GACGAACGCUGGCGGCGCGCCUAACACAUGCAAGUCGAACGAGCGAGAGAGAGCUUGCUUUCUCAAGCGAGUGGCGAACGGGUGAGUAACGCGUGAGGAACCUGCCUCAAAGAGGGGGACAACAGUUGGAAACGACUGCUAAUACCGCAUAAGCCCACAGGUCGGCAUCGACCAGAGGGAAAAGGAGCAAUCCGCUUUGAGAUGGCCUCGCGUCCGAUUAGCUGGUUGGUGGGGUAAAGGCCUACCAAGGCGACGAUCAGUAGCCGAGCUGAGAGGCUCAACGGCCACAUUGGGACUGAGAUACGGCCCAG